AUUGAACGCUGGCGGCAGGCCUAACACAUGCACGUCGAACGAGUGGCGGACGGGUGAGUACUGUCUGGGAAACUGCCUGAUGGAGGGGGAUAACUACUGGAAACGGUAGCUAAUACCGCCUACCCUCAGCUGUGCCCCGAUGGGAUUAGCUUGUUGGUGGGGUACCGGCUCACCAAGGCGACGAUCCCUAGCUGGGCUUAGAGGAUGACAAGCCACACUGGAACUGAGACACGGUCCAGACUCCUACGGGAGGCAGCAGUGGGGAAUAUUGCACAAUGGGCGAAAGCCUGAUGCAGCCAUGCCGCGUGUAUGAAGAAGGCCUUCGGGUUGUAAAGUACUUUCAGCGGGGAGGCGUUACCCGCAGAAGAAGCACCGGCUAACUCCGUGCCAGCAGCCGCGGUAAUUC
rnacentral:rRNA from 1 species